CCCUUAGACGUUCUGGGCCGCACGCGCGCUACACUGACCAGUGCAACAAGCAUCCGUCCUUGGCCGACAGGCUCGGGUAAUCUUUGAACGCUGUUCGUGAUUGGGAUAGACCUUUGCAAUUAUGGGUCUUCAACGAGGAAUUCCUAGUAAACGCAAGUCAUCAACUUGCAUUGAUUACGUCCCUGCCCUUUGUACACACCGCCCGUCGCACCUACCGAUUGAAUGGUCCGGUGAAGCCUCCGGAUUGGCGCGCACCUCGGUGCCGCCGAGAAGUUGGCUAAACCUUACCAUUUAGAGGAAGGUGAAGUCGUAACA
rnacentral:rRNA from 1 species